UACGUAGGGGGCUAGCGUUGUCCGGAAUCAUUGGGCGUAAAGCGCGUGUAGGCGGCCCGGUAAGUCCGCUGUGAAAGUCGGGGGCUCAACCCUCGAAUGCCGGUGGAUACUGUCGGGCUCGAGUGCGGAAGAGGCGAGUGGAAUUCCUGGUGUAGUGGUGAAAUGCGCAGAUAUCAGGAAGAACACCUAUGGCGAAGGCAGCUCUCUGGGACGGUACUGACGCUGAGACGCGAAAGCGUGGGGAGCGAACAGG
rnacentral:rRNA from 1 species